rnacentral:rRNA from 1 species
AUUGAACGCUGGCGGCAGGCCUAACACAUGCAAGUCGAGCGGUAGAGAGAAGCUUGCUUCUCUUGAGAGCGGCGGACGGGUGAGUAAUGCCUAGGAAUCUGCCUAGUGGUGGGGGAUAACGUUCGGAAACGGACGCUAAUACCGCAUACGUCCUACGAGAGAAAGCGGGGGAUCUUCGGACCUCGCGCCAUUAGAUGAGCCUAGGUCGGAUUAGCUAGUUGGUGAGGUAAUGGCUCACCAAGGCGACGAUCCGUAACUGGUCUGAGAGGAUGAUCAGUCACACUGGAACUGAGACACGGUCCAGACUCCUACGGGAGGCAGCAGUGGGGAAUAUUGGACAAUGGGCGAAAGCCUGAUCCAGCCAAGCCGCGUGUGUGAAGAAGGUCUUCGGAUUGUAAAGCACUUUAAGUUGGGAGGAAGUGCAGUAACCUAAUACGUUAUUGUUUUGACGUUACCGACAGAAUAAGCACCGGCUAACUUCGUGCCAGCAGCCGCCGCGGUAA